AUUGAACGCUGGCGGCAUGCCUUACACAUGCAAGUCGAACGGCAGCACGGACUUCGGUCUGGUGGCGAGUGGCGAACGGGUGAGUAAUGCAUCGGAACGUGCCAUUGAGUGGGGGAUAACGUAGCGAAAGUUGCGCUAAUACCGCAUAUUCUGUGAGCAGGAAAGCAGGGGACCGCAAGGCCUUGCGCUCUUUGAGCGGCCGAUGUCAGAUUAGCUAGUUGGUGAGGUAAAGGCUUACCAAGGCGACGAUCUGUAGCGGGUCUGAGAGGAUGAUCCGCCACACUGGAACUGAGACACGGUCCAGACUCCUACGGGAGGCAGCAGUGGGGAAUUUUGGACAAUGGGGGCAACCCUGGAUCCAGCCAUGCCGCGUGAGUGAAGAAGGCCUCGG
rnacentral:rRNA from 1 species